CAGGUUUGAGAUGCUGGAAACUGAAGAGAAGGUGCAGCACCCAGCAAUUUCCUUUGUUGGAUUUCUUAUUGUUGCUGAUUGCCCAAUACUGCAUUCUAUCCAGAGUCCUCUGCAUAGCCUGUCAUCCCUUCAGAGCAACAGCAGCUCCUUCUAUUUUACUGUAAUCACCAGAGUGGCUAAGGAUUGUAUGGGAACUGUUGAAUCACAGACUGAACCUCUGAUUGACCACCUGAGAUGAGCACUGAGUCAGCUGCAGGAGCACAGGUGAAGGCAAUUCACCUAAGGGCUGACUGCCACUGGGAAAGGAUCUCUUUCUUGAGAUUGCUUCUCUUGGAGCUUUUUUGGCGUGUGACUCCUUUUGGAUCUAAAGGAGUCCAUUCCGGCCCCUCCUCCCCGAGUACUACAGGGAAUGCGGGGUGUUCGGAUCACUCGGCACCAUCUUUGUCGAGUGCUCCUCGUCUGAGUUCCUGCAAGAGAGGCUACCUCCCGGCCGGCACUCCUGUUUCACGUCCGAGCUGACUCCCUGCGAACCCCCUCCGGGGUCCGUCUGAUCAGGACUCCAGAGCCGCCGGCUUUCCUCC
ensembl:lncRNA